rnacentral:rRNA from 1 species
ACAUGCAAGUCGAGCGAACGGACGAGAAGCUUGCUUCUCUGAUGUUAGCGGCGGACGGGUGAGUAACACGUGGAUAACCUACCUAUAAGACUGGGAUAACUUCGGGAAACCGGAGCUAAUACCGGAUGAUAUUUUGAACCGCAUGGUUCAAAAGUGAAAGACGGUCUUGCUGUCACUUAUAGAUGGAUCCGCGCUGCAUUAGCUAGUUGGUAAGGUAACGGCUUACCAAGGCAACGAUGCAUAGCCGACCUGAGA